UCCGGUUUAGACCGGCGGUCUCCCUAGAGAUGUCAACUAAGGACAAGGGUUGCGCUCGUUGCGGGACUUAACCCAACACCUCACGGCACGAGCUGACGACAGCCAUGCAGCAUCUGUGCACGCUCCCUUGCGGGUCCCUUCUCUUACAAGUCGGUACCACGUGCAUGUCAAGCCGAGGUAAGGUUCUGCGCGUUGCAUCGAAUUAAACUCAAAGGAAUUGACGGGGGCCCGCACAAGCGGUGGAGCAUGUGGUUUAAUUCGACGCAACGCGAAGAACCUUACCUGGGCUAGACAUCAUCGGACCGCCUCAGAGAUGAGGUUUCCCCGCAAGGGGCUGGUGGAUCAGGUGCUG
rnacentral:misc_RNA from 1 species